CCUACGGGAGGCAGCAGUGAGGAAUAUUGGUCAAUGGACGAGAGUCUGAACCAGCCAAGUAGCGUGAAGGAUGACUGCCCUAUGGGUUGUAAACUUCUUUUAUAAAGGAAUAAAACGAGGCACGUGUGCCUUUUUGCAUGUACUUUAUGAAUAAGGAUCGGCUAACUCCGUGCCAGCAGCCGCGGUAAUACGGAGGAUCCGAGCGUUAUCCGGAUUUAUUGGGUUUAAAGGGAGCGUAGAUGGGUUGUUAAGUCAGUUGUGAAAGUUUGCGGCUCAACCGUAAAAUUGCAAUUGAUACUGGCAGUCUUGAGUACAGGUGAGGUAGGCGGAAUUCGUGGUGUAGCGGUGAAAUGCUUAGAUAUCACGAAGAACCCCGAUGGCGAAGGCAGCUUACUAAACUGUGACUGACAUUGAUGCUCGAAAGUGUGGGUAGCAAACAGGAUUAGAUACCCCUGUAGUC
rnacentral:rRNA from 1 species